AAAAAAUGAAAAAAAAAAAACUAUAACCAACUCACAUUUUGUACCAAACCAGAGCCACGAAAGCCAAGAGAAUUCACAGGGAAGACAGAGCAGUUUUAUGCGUCGGUGGUGUAACGGUGGUGGCGGAAGAAUUAUCGGUAAAGUUCGUCUCACCCCAAUGCCAAAGCAUACUCUCCCAAAAACAGAAAUCUUCGUAACAAGUCUUAAGUCUCUCAUCUUUUAUUUUUAUCUUCCAGUGUCCAUCUUUGUAAUUCCCUUUCUCUGCUUGUCUGCGAUCCCACUCAAGUUGUGCCUUUUGUUUCGAUCUCAAUAGACAGAACUUGUGCAAAUUCUCAGGCAUUGCGUCAUGCACUCUCCACCAGGUUUUAUGUGCUUCGUCACUUGCGAAUUCCUGAAAAAUAUCCACAUUCCAGUUGCAAUCAUAGUCUCUGAAGCAUAACCACGGUUUGUUAUAACCUAGGUAAUGAAGAAC
rnacentral:lncRNA from 1 species